UCUGUCUGUAACCAUCUUGCUGCCUACAGCAGUGAACUGAUCUUGAUGAAACUUUGCAUACAUGUUAAACUAACAUCCAGUGGAACAUAUUUACA